UACGUAGGGGGCAAGCGUUGUUCGGAAUUACUGGGCGUAAAGCGUGCGCAGGCGGCUUCUCAAGUCAGGGGUGAAAGCCCAGAGCUUAACUCUGGAAUUGCCUUUGAGACUGAGAGGCUUGAGUACGGGAGAGGUGAGUGGAAUUCCCAGUGUAGAGGUGAAAUUCGUAGAUAUUGGGAGGAACACCAGUGGCGAAGGCGGCUCACUGGACCGGUACUGACGCUGAUGCGCGAAAGCGUGGGGAGCAAACGGG
rnacentral:rRNA from 1 species